AUUAUUGAAAGGUGCUUGCAUCUUGAUUUAAUUUUGAACGAGUGGCGGACGGGUGAGUAACACGUGGGUAACCUGCCCUUAAGUGGGGGAUAACAUUUGGAAACAGAUGCUAAUACCGCAUAAAUCCAAGAACCGCAUGGUUCUUGGCUGAAAGAUGGCGUAAGCUAUCGCUUUUGGAUGGACCCGCGGCGUAUUAGCUAGUUGGUGAGGUAACGGCUCACCAAGGCAAUGAUACGUAGCCGAACUGAGAGGUUGAUCGGCCACAUUGGGACUGAGACACGGCCCAAACUCCUACGGGAGGCAGCAGUAGGGAAUCUUCCACAAUGGACGCAAGUCUGAUGGAGCAACGCCGCGUGAGUGAAGAAGGCUUUCGGGUCGUAAAACUCUGUUGUUGGAGAAGAAUGGUCGGCAGAGUAACUGUUGUCGGCGUGACGGUAUCCAACCAGAAAGCCACGGCUAACUACGUGCCAGCAGCCGCGGUAAUACGUAGGUGGCAAGCGUUAUCCGGAUUUAUUGGGCGUAAAGCGAGCGCAGGCGGUUUUUUAAGUCUGAUGUGAAAGCCCUCGGCUUAACCGAGGAAGUGCAUCGGAAACUGGCAAACUUGAGUGCAGAAAAGGACAGUGGAACUCCAUGUGUAGCGGUGAAAUGCGUAGAUAUAUGGAAGAACACCAGUGGCGAAGGCGGCUGUCUGGUCUGUAACUGACGCUGAGGCUCGAAAGCAUGGGUAGCGAACAGGAUUAGAUACCCUGGUAGUCCAUGCCGUAAACGAUGAAUGCUAGGUGUUGGAGGGUUUCCGCCCUUCAGCGCCGCAGCUAACGCAUUAAGCAUU
rnacentral:rRNA from 1 species